GAAAUGCGAUAAGUAGUGUGAAUUGCAGAAUUCAGUGAAUCAUCGAAUCUUUGAACGCACAUUGCGCCCCUCGGUAUUCCGUGGGGCAUGCCUGUUCGAGCGUCAUCUACACCCUCAAGCUCUGCUUGGUGUUGGGCGUCUGUCCCGCCUCCUUCGCGCGCGGACUCGCCCCAAAUCCAUUGGCGGCGGCCCUUGCCUCCCUCUCGCGCAGCACAUUGCGCUUCUCGAGGCGCGGCGGACCGCGUCCAGAAAGCAACCGUCACACCGUCUUUGACCUCGGAUCAGGUAGGGAUACCCGCUGAACUUAAGC
rnacentral:misc_RNA from 1 species